GCCGGGUGUGGUGGCUCACACCUGUAGUCCCAGCUACUCGGGAGGCUGAGGCAGGAGAAUCACUUGAACCCGGGAGGUGGAGGUUGCAGUGAGCCGAGAUCACACCACUGCACUCCAGCCUGGGUGACAGAGCGAGACUCUGUCUCAA
rnacentral:SRP_RNA from 1 species